rnacentral:rRNA from 1 species
CACGGGGGGAGCAAGCGUUGUUCGGAAUUACUGGGCGUAAAGCGCGUGUAGGCGGCCCGCUAAGUCUGAUGUGAAAGCCCGGGGCUCACCCCCGGAAGUGCAUUGGAGACUGGCGGGCUCGAGUCCCGGAGAGGAGGGUGGAAUUCCUGGUGUAGCGGUGAAAUGCGUAGAUAUCUGAAGGAACAUCAGUGGCGAAAGCGACUUCCUGGACCAAUACUGACGCUCAUGUGCGAAAGCGUGGGGAGCAAACAGG